GUAAACCUUUUCACUUCAUGGGAACGAGUGUGCUAAGUCAUCAAUCUAAGCAUGUGCUGGUGUGAAUUGCAUAACUGCAACUCUUAUUAGACAAUUAUUAUUUGAAUACUUAUUCUGGUAUAUUCUCCUAGGCUAUCAUAUCACUUUUAAAUAAUACAUUUAAAAUUAUUGCAGUAAAUAUGUAUUUAUGACACAAGAUUGUAAUUGUCAUUGGCAUUAAGUUAGUCAGUGUCUAGAUUGUUUCUUUAGAUUCUUUAUAUCAAAACAACGUGUUAACAAUGGGAUGAAAGAAAGUAGCUUCCAGUUUCUGAAUUGGAGAUUUUUCUUUGCAGGAUUUUUAAUGCUAUUGUUCUUUUUUAAAAAGUGGAAGUAUGUCUCAUCUUAGAAUAAUUAUGCUGUGCUCUAGAUGUUUGUCCUUGGGAAAACUGAACUUACAGUAGCUCUGUCACUGUCUUCCCCAAACAAGGCUGAAGCUGUGCUGCAUAUUCUUACCUAGCCUAGGAAGUCAUAAAACAUCACUCUGCUUCAUUCUGUUGGAUACUGAUGAGUCAAAACUUGCCAUUUUCAAAGGAAAAGAAUGCAGACACCUCUUAAAAGAGCAGGUAGUUAGAAUGCAACACUGGAAGAAUGUGAGUUUGAGACUAGAAAGAAAAAUUGAGGUAGCAUUCAUAUGGCAACUUCAUAUGACUUGAUGUGAGUAAAAGAGAUUUCUGCUGGAGGAUGGGGAAGUGGUCUGCAUGAGACAAAAGCUAAAAUUAUAACUUUGGGGAACUUUUGGAGGCUGAGGUCAGAGAAAUCUAAGGAGUUUCUAGUGCAGAGUCCUAGAAAUAAAAGGUGAAGAGAUUUUUGGUGCCUGAUCCCUCGUGUAAGAAACAUAAAAGUCUUCACUACAUCCUAACAGAUGUGAGAUUCAACUGUUCUCCUUAGUGUGUUCUCUCUGCAAUUCCAGACCCCAUGAAAUAAAUCUCUGAAGCUUGCUUGUCUCCCAAACACUGUGUAAACCCACUGAAAACUUAAGUAAUGGAGUAAACAGCUUUCUGUGGC
rnacentral:lncRNA from 10 species